AGCAGCCGCGGUAAUUCCAGCUCCAAUAGCGUAUAUUAAAGUUGUUGCAGUUAAAAAGCUCGUAGUUGAAUUUCGGGAUUGACACAUCGGUCGUGCCUUAAGGGGUAUGAACUGGUGUAGUCAAUUUCUCACCUUCUGGAGAACCGCAAUGCCCUUAAUUGGGUGUCGCGGGGAACCAAGACCUUUACUUUGAAAAAAUUAGAGUGUUUAAAGCAGGCAUUUUGCUUGAAUACAUUAGCAUGGAAUAAUAAAAUAGGACGGCAUGAUUCUAUUUUGUUGGUUUCUAGGAUCACCGUAAUGAUUAAUAGGGAUAGUUGGGGGCAUUAGUAUUCAAUUGUCAGAGGUGAAAUUCUUGGAUUUAUUGAAGACUAACUACUGCGAAAGCAUUUGCCAAGGAUGUUUUCAUUAAUCAAGAACGAAAGUUAGGGGAUCGAAGACGAUCAGAUACCGUCGUAGUCUUAACCAUAAACUAUGCCGACUAGGAAUCAGACGAUGUUAAUUUUUUAAUGACUCGUUUGGU
rnacentral:misc_RNA from 1 species